CACUGGCAACUGCAGAAGACCCACUCCAGAUAAGUGUCAACUACACUGAAGACAAACACCCAGGGACUUGCCCUGAGGAGCAGUGUAAAUUAAGACCAUCAAACCCAACCCUACAGUUAUCGAAGAGAUAAAAGAAACAUUGAGAGAAGGAGAGUGUGAGGUGGCGGGGACAGACAGUGCACUCUUCUCCGGCUUGGUGAGUUUGAGUAUGUCUGUCUUCAGAUGGUACGUGCUGGAGACACAUGUCACCCCCAGUUGCUUCUGGGCAGGACUACGCUGCAGUCUGCUGUUCUGGGAGUGUAAUGCUGAAACAUCGCCCAGGCAAAAGCACAAAUCUUAAAUGUGAAUGUUUGGCCCCGUGCUUCUGUGAAAAACAGCAGGUAUGUUGUGACGUUGUAUUGAUCUGCAGGAAUAUAUCAGAAAGCAUUAGCAUCAGUUCUACACUGGGAUUAAGCCAGUCAUCAGUGUCUGGUGUCUUUCACUGCUCUGAGAGCCUCUGAGAACUAUUGUCCGGCUUUGGGCUGACCA